rnacentral:rRNA from 1 species
UACGGAGGGGGCUAGCGUUGUUCGGAAAUACUGGGCGUAAAGCGCACGUAGGCGGCGCAGCAAGUCAGGGGUGAAAUCCCGGGGCUCAACCCCGGAACUGCCCUUGAAACUGCAGUGCUAGAAUUCUGGAGAGGCGAGUGGAAUUCCGAGUGUAGAGGUGAAAUUCGUAGAUAUUCGGAAGAACACCAGUGGCGAAGGCGACUCACUGGACAUGUAUUGACGCUGAGGUACGAAAGCGUGGGGAGCAAACAGG